GAUCAGGCCCGGCCCAGGAGGCAGAACCAGGGACCUCUGUCCCCCUUCCCUCCUCGGUUCCACCCAGACCAGCUGGGCAUCCUUGGCUAGCCCAAGUGGGGCCUUCCCUCAGCCCCCUCAGGUGAAAUUCAGCCCCCCCCCUUAUGCCAGCUGCUCAGAGCCAAUUCCUCCAGCAGCACCAUUAAGCUCUCUCCCGCCAUUUGCUCUUAGCCUUCAGCUCUGAGAUGGUGCCAGCCUGCCCUGGAGCCUGGCUCUCGGGGCUUCCUCCGGCACCUGCUCUAAACCCACAAGCCCAGCGGGGCCUUUGUGGCUGGCAGUUGGGCACGUCCCAGGGACCUCUUGGAGGGCAGACCUGGGUCGGUGCACCCCGUUGUUCCCAAGCAUCUGGUAACCUGGGGCACCGGUUGCUGGGUUGCAGGGUGUGGGUGCUGGGAACGGGUCCAGCAAGACGCCAGCAGUAGCUCUGCAGGCCCAGCCAGAUGGCUGCUCAGGUCCUCUGGAGAUCACGGCUGGUCAACCAUUCGCCUUCCUGCCUCCUGUGGACGGGCGGCUGCCUGUCGGGGCCCUGGGCAUGCCUGAAGCAGGGGCACCUUUGAUUCCUUCUGGGUAACCACCCUCUUCAAGUUGCAGCAGGGGCUUGUGGGUAUUUCUCCUUGAGGGGGACUGCCUGUUCCAGCAGAGAGGCCUCUAAAACAGCCUCCGAUGGCUGCCUCUGCCUCUCCUUCUAAAGUGCCCCCCUUCCUGUGCCGAGCCCUCGUUGCUGGCUGCAGCAGAGGCCGCCUGCUCCCUCCCUCCCCCCCCCCAGGGCUGGGGGCAUUUAGGAGAGAUCCAGCUUGGCCUGGAGCAGGAGGGGUCCCUCCCCAAAAUGAACGAAGGUCAUGUUUCAUCAGUAACUGAGUUGAAACAUGCUUGGGAUAAACACGUCCAACAAUAGACACAGAGACCCAAACAACAUCUACAUGCUGUGGAAAAAGGGCGUGAAAGACGUCAGCACCUCCCACCAGCAGCAGUCGGCACCCAGGACUAACGUCUUUUCUGCAGAGUGGCCGAAUGUCAGCCUCCGCUUUUACUGCUUCAGCUGCCAUAAGAAACGGGUGGGAAACAGUUAGGGGGGCAAAGUGGGGGAAGAGCGCAGGAGGAGUCUUUCCAGGAAACGAAACCGAUUCUCCAAAGGGGCCGUCAGACCAACUGUCAUUACAUUCCUGAUGGAUGACGUUGCCAGACGUGAUUCCACCUGACCUUUGGGAGACCUUUGGACUGGAUGAUGGACGAUGGACAAGGGGGGGGGAGAUGCUUUCUAGAUGCAAAUUCGCGCGUUUUGCUUAGUUCCAGCUUUACCUGGGUUGCGAUCGCUUCAUUUUCAGUAAAAGUACUAAUCUCUAUAAAUAA